GAUGAAGAACGUAGCGAAAUGCGAUAAGUAAUGUGAAUUGCAGAAUUCAGUGAAUCAUCGAAUCUUUGAACGCACCUUGCGCUCCUUGGUAUUCCGAGGAGCAUGCCUGUUUGAGUGUCAUUAAAUUCUCAACCUCACCAGUUUUCUGAACUGUUCUCCGAGGCUUGGAUGUGGGGGUUUGUGCAGGCUGCCUCAGCGCGGUCUGCUCCCCUGAAAUGCAUUAGCGAGUUCGAUACUGAGCUCCGUCUAUUGGUGUGAUAAUUAUCUACGCCGUGGAUCGGGGCUUAGACUCGCUUCUAACCGUCCGCAAGGACAAUACCUUGACAAUUUGACCUCAAAUCAGGUAGGACUACCCGCUGAACUUAAGCAUAUCAAUAAGCGGAGGA
rnacentral:misc_RNA from 1 species